AAGGAGCUUAUUCAACAAUGGCGCUGGUGGCAAUGAAACAAAGUUUUUAAUUUUCGCAUGUAAAAUUGAAAUCAGCAAGCAGGGAAGGUAUUUUUCAUUUACAGGUAACAUAAUACAUGUAAGCCAGGUAGAAACAUGCGCUGAAAGAGACGGGGACGUCAUCGCUAACAAAAAUGUGACCAGCGCCAUUCAGAUAUCAUGCUAGUUUUUUGAACAACAACAAUGAGCGGCCCGCCGGAAAACGUCAAUCGAACGUCUCGUAAAAUGGCUUAUGGUAGGAAUGUAGUUGUCAACGUCAAGGGUCGUGGUAGAUUUGUUGGAGGAUGAAAAUGGACGUCGAACGGAUGUUAAACUUAAGAAUGUGCUGUACGUGCCUAAGGCUGGCUUCAGGAUGUGAUCGGAACUAAAACCACGACAAAACGGCACAGCAAGUGGGGCAAUAGAUUGCUGCUCGGUCGAAACGGAAGCGGUGACGAAACGCAUGACGGCAAGGCGACCAGUAUGCUCUAAAAUCAAGUUUGCCUUGGACGCAAGUCAGGACAGAAUACCAGAGGUCCUAAUGAAACCGAGUACGAUACUACACUAUGACUCUUGGAGAAUACGUCGUUAUUAAUCCCUGAAGCAUGAGAUGCAUAGUAAAAUCCAUUCUGACUGAAAUUACCGACUAUGGAAGAAAUAUGUAGUUAACAAAUAACGUCCUUUCAGGAUGCAGACAACCCGUGUUGUUAAUUAGUGUACAUUUGCUAGGAUGGAAGGAACAUACCAAUUAAGUAUUAACAUCGUACUAUGCUCACAGGGCUGAUAGCGAGUCACUUAUUAGUGACUUGGUAAAUUUUCGGACCUGGCCACUAAAAAGUCACUAGUAACUUUUUUCAUUAAAAAAAUGGUAACUAAAGUCACAAUUUUCGUGGUCUGAUAAUGAAUAAACGAUAAUCUGGAUCAGCUUCUUAAGCUUUUUGUUAUUCUAAUGCAAACAUUCUUUGCUAACUAUCUGCUAGAUUCAGGUGAAUGUUGCGCAGACAUUUUUGACAGAAUAUCUGGAAUUUAUUUGUUGGGUUUUGUUAAUAAGUUCUAGGUAUUUUUUGAAAGUUAAGUGUCAUCAUAAUUUCUGACCACCAUAAUGAGCUUAUUUAGUGGUAAUAUCUGAUGAAAUCAUUAGAGAAUAGCCCGAAGGGAUUUUGACCUACUUUUUGAAGGAAACUCAACAGAAAGUAAUUCAUGAAAGAAGCCUUACACUUCA